AGGACGAACGCUGGCGGCGCGCUUAACACAUGCAAGUCGAGCGAGAACCUUUCCUUCGGGAUUGGGGACAGCGGCGAACGGGUGAGUAACACGUGGGUAAUCUGCCCUUGACAUCGGGAUAGCCCGGGGAAACCCGGAUUAAUACCGAAUAGCCUCCGGAGCCCUCGGGCGCCGGAGAAAAGGUAGCUUCGGCCUCUGGUCAAGGAUGAGCCCGCGGCGGAUUAGCUUGUUGGCGGGGUAAUGGCCCACCAAGGCGACGAUCCGUAGCUGGUCUGAGAGGACGAUCAGCCACACUGGGACUGAGACACGGCCCAGACUCCUACGGGAGGCAGCAGUGGGGGAAUCUUGCGCAAAUGCGGGAAACCGUGACGCAGCGACGCCGCGUGGGGGAAGAAGGGCCUUCGGGUUGUAAACCUCUUUCAGGAGGGACGAAGCUACUCGGGUUAAUAGCCCAGAGGGUGACGGUACCUUCAGAAGAAGCCCCGGCUAACUACGUGCCAGCAGCCGC
rnacentral:rRNA from 1 species